AAUCGGUUUGGAGACUGUGUCUACCUGAUGAGCCCCAAGAAGGGCGAAACCGGUC
rnacentral:hammerhead_ribozyme from 13 species